UGAUUUGAACACCCUAGUGUCAUGUUGAAAAGUAAUUGAAAACCUAGUGUCAUGUUGAAAAGUAAUUGAAGACCUGAACUGAGGAGUCACUAAUGACCUUAGUAAUGAAUUAUUCUCUUCAUUCUAUCUUAUAUUAGAUAAGUAUGUCCGUGCAUUGUACGGACCCAACAUAUAUAUUUACAUUGAUAGAGAUGAUAUUUAUACACAAUUGAGAUUAUAUGAAGCAAAUAAAUAACGAAUUUCAGUGUAUAGACCAUCGAAGAAUAUCAGUUGCUACAUUUGGUAACUAACCACAAAAGAUGAAAUCGAAGGGAAUAACUCAUAGUAGAAUAUACUGAGCAGAGAAAGAAUAUGAGAGUAGUAUGCAUCUGGAAUACAAAUUGUUAAAUCAAAUUGAACCGAAGAAUCAAAUCAAACUGACGAAAAGAAUCAACUUAUGAUUUUGUUUGAUUGGUUUGGUGUUGGCAAAUAAAAACCAAUCAUUCUUGAUUUAAUUUCGUAUUAGAAAAAAUAAAAUCAAACUGAACCCAAAUCGAACCGAUGUAAUAUAUAUAUAAUUUUAAUUUUUUAUACGUAAAAAAAUAUUAAUUAUAAUUUACUUUCUAAUUACUUUUACUAUUUUUUUUAUUUAGAAAAUAGAUAUAUAUUUUUGGAUCUUUAAUUAUAGUAUUUUUUUCAUUAAUAACAAAUAAAUACAAAGCUCAAUAUCUAUAUCUAUAUUUAUAUCUAUAAUCUAUAUUUAUAUAUAUAAUCUAUAACUAUAAUUUAUAAUAUAUUAAAAGUGUGAAGGGCCUUAGAAAUGUUGUUUGAAAUUUUUGUCCUUCAUUAAAAAUUUUCGCUUUAG
rnacentral:lncRNA from 1 species